rnacentral:lncRNA from 1 species
UGACUAUCCACAGGCAGGGCUAGAAAAGGGAGUGGAACAUUUUACUUAGGCAGGAAGCACUGAAGAGAAGAAUCUUUUUUUCAGUAGACAUUUGUGGGAAAUAAAAAUUUGUUUAGAAGAAUUUAGGCCAAGAGAUAAAAUGGUCUUCUUUUGACUGAGGAGAGAUAAGAUAGAUUUUAAGCAGACAUCUGAAGUUAAAGGAGAGGUGUCUCCAGCUUCUGAUUUUGAUGACAUCUCCCAGAGAGGACCGUGUUGCCAUCACCAUCCCAGAGUCUGAAAGUGUCCAGGAAAUAUCAAUGAAAUCAUGGAAUUUUGAAGAAGAUACAACAAUUUUAUUUCUGCUACAACAGACGUUCUGCUAAUGGAACAGAAGUCAGCGAAGGACCUAUUAGGUUUUAGGUCACUUAUUACUCAAAGUUUAUACAUUCUACACUAAGUUAUUUAUUGCUCAAAUUUAUCUCAUAUUUAUUCCUAGAUUGUGUGUAUUAAUACAAGGCCCAGAAAAGUUGAAUAAUGUACAGUAUAUUUCAAGUAUUAUAAUUAAAAACUUAGAGAUUUAGCCCAGGUUUAUCUGAACCAAUAUCUUCUGUUUUUUUCACUCAAAUAUUUUGAGGAUGAGCAUUAUUUAGCAGUGAAUAGGUGUGUUCUUAG